rnacentral:rRNA from 1 species
UGAGUGCGAGCUGCUACGGCAGCGAAGUUGGUGACGUCAAGCUUCCAAGAAAAGCCCUAUACCCGUUAAGGCAUCAUGGCCUGUACCCGAAACCGACACAGGUGGGGUGGUAGAGAAUACCGAGGGGCGCGAGGUAACUCUCUCUAAGGAACUCGGCAAAAUGGCCCCGUAGCUUCGGGAGAAGGGGUGCCACCGCAAGGUGGUCGCAGUGAAGAGGCCCAGGCGACUGUUUACCAAAAACACAGGUCUCCGCUAAGUCGCAAGACGAUGUAUGGGGGCUGACGCCUGCCCAGUGCCGGAAGGUUAAGGAAGCUGGUCAGCGCAAGCGAAGCUGGCGACUGAAGCCCCGGUGAACGGCGGCCGUAACUAUAACGGUCCUAAGGUAGCGAAAUUCCUUGUCGGGUAAGUUCCGACCCGCACGAAAGGCGUAACGAUCUGGGCGCUGUCUCGGAGAGAGGCUCGGCAAAAUAGAAUUGUCUGUGAAGAUGCGGACUACGUGCACCCGGACAGAAAGACCCUAUGAAGCUUUACUGUAGCUUGGUAUUGUGCCCGGGCUCUGAAUGCGCAGGAUAGGUGGGAGGCUUUGAUCAUCGGCUUGCGGGUCGAUGUGAGCCAACGGUGAGAUACCACUCUUUCAGAGCUAGGGUUCUAACAGUCACCCGUUAUCCGGGGACUGGACAGUAUCAGGUGGGCAGUUUGACUGGGGCGGUCGCCUCCUAAAAGGUAACGGAGGCGCGCAAAGGUCUGCUCAGGCUGGUUGGAAAUCAGCCGACGAGUGUAAAAGCAGAAGCAGGCUUGACUGUGAGACCUACAAGUCGAACAGGGAGGAAACUCGGCUUUAGUGAUCCGACGGUUCUGCGUGGAAGGGCCGUCGCUCAACGGAUAAAAGUUACUCUAGGAUAACAGGCUGAUCUCCCCCAAGAGUUCACAUCGACGGGGAGGUUUGGCACCUCGAUGUCGGCUCAUCGCAACCUGGGGCUGAAGUCGGUCCCAAGGGUUGGGCUGUUCGCCCAUUAAAGCGGUACGCGAGCUGGGUUCAGAACGUCGUGAGACAGUUCGGUCCAUAUCCGGUGCAUGCGCAGGAAUAUUGAGAGGAGUUCUCCCUAGUACGAGAGGACCGGGAGGAACGCACCUCUGGUGUACCAGUUAUCGUGCCAACGGUAAACGCUGGGUAGCCAUGUGCGGAGAGGAUAACCGCUGAAAGCAUCUAAGUGGGAAGCCCACCUCAAGAUGAGUAUUCCCAUGGCGUUAGCCAGUAAGGUCACGGGAAGAACACCCGUUGAUAGGCUCUAUGUGGAAGCGCAGUAAUGCGUGAAGCAGAGGAGUACUAAUAGACCGAGGGCUUGACC